ACAUGUUUGCCGAAAUUGAGGUCGAUUUGAUAAAUCAAGCGGAAACAAUUAUGUAAUUUAGCAAAACAAAAAAAGUGACUACAUCUCCCAUCCCCACUGUAGAACUCCAAAGUCGCAAGGAUGCAGGCCGAAACCACCUGCCGUCUCGAAUGCUCAUUACUGUCUCCAAACCUGAAAACUGCUUUUCCAGCAUCAUCGGGAAGUGCCUGAAUAGCUGCUUCGGCAAGUUCUGCCUCAUGCCUGUACGAGACAACAACCACCGAAGGUCAACGGACAGUUGAGAAGAGGUUUAUGAACCAUCAAACUAGCUACACAACUUUGACCCCAAAAAAAAAAUAAACUAGCUACAGAACAAUUCAAGUCAGAUGACGUCAGCCAUGUCGGUCAAUGCCGCUCUAAGGACGUCAGCAUAUUGUCUUUUAAAAAAAAACAGCAUCUUUUGUCUUUUUAAAAAAAGACACUGGCCACAGAAUCUGUGACCCGACAAAAAGAGCGAAAAAAAUCUUUUCAACAGAACCGACGCACAGAAGGAAUCUUUUUUGGCUUUUUUAAAAAAAGACACUGGCCACAGAAUACUAUUAUAUCUGUGACCCCACAAAAAGAUCAGAUAGACCGGACAGGCAACCACAGCUACAAUUACCACUCCAUAAUACAAACCGCAUCAAUCGCAAGUACGAUUGUGAUUAAUUUAUGCAAUCAAGUGCAUCCACAAGAGAGAGGCGGAGGACGAAGGGCGGGACGCACGACGACACAACUAUUCGUAGAAAUCAACGUUAUAUAAACCAGAUAAUAUAGGCCGAGAUUCUUACUGCUGCUGUGGAUCAAAGUCCAUGUGCACUUCCGGAGGGGCAAGAGCAGGAGGCUCAACAAAGUGCAGAUUUGGAUCCCUGCGUUUACCACAACAAAUAAUUAGCUACUAGACCAAAACAACCUUUGCAAACAGGAUUUGCAUGUUUUGCUCAAGUACCCGACAAGUUCUCUGGCGAGGUAGAGGAAGGGUUCCUCUAAGUUGUACAUGUUCCUUGCAGAAAUCUCAUAGUGCUGCAAAUUAUUGCUCCACCCAUAUGUAAACUGCCCUGCUUCAACUUGCCUAUUCUCCCCAUCUACCUUGUUUCCACAGAGAACAAUAGGUAUAUUCUCACAGACCCUAUUAAAUUAAUGGGUAAUUAGCGAGAUAUAGCACCAUCAAAAACUGUAAUGCGAGAACAAAUACAAAGGUCGCCGGCAUGUCUAAUCUACCUGCAGAGAUCGCGAUGCCAUCCAGGUACAUUCAUGUAUGUCGAUCCAGCAGUGACAUCGAACAUGAUAAUUGCACACUGGCCACGAAUGCUGCAGAAGAACGAACAAAAGUUAAGGUUAAAAUGUGAAUAAAGGAAAUCGCCACAUUCAGAAGACCACUCUAACACCGCCAGCAUUAAGUACAAGACGCAGUCCGAAAAUAAGGUUUUGAAGAGAUACGACUGACAUAAAUUGUACCAGCUUUUAACAAAAUCAGAAGUAAGGACAACCCUGAAACAGAUAUGCACCCUUUACGGUGGAAAUUUUUUUGCAAAAAUACUUGCUUCUUCCUCCUCAACUUCACAAAUAAGAAUCGACUGCACCACUAUCAAGUGAUAAUAGUUAUCCUUAGUAAAACACAGACGGUUGAAUAAACUAUCAACCAAAAUAUAGCUACACCGUAAUUAAAGCAUUGUAAGAUACAAGCUCAAGACAACAUUUUUCCUCCUAUUUUCACUGAAUUCACGACGUAAACUGGAAUCUGAAAAAUCCUUCCACUGAUUUAUAAAGCAAGGAAAUUCUAAGACAGAACUCUCUUUACUCACUAAUAUCCAUCUCUUAGACCCUGCCCUGGAGUAUCCGAGCAGUCAAACCGGAUCAUCCCCCGGUUUGUGAAGAAAUGCAGAGGAUAGACUUCGAUGCCAGUAGUUGCUGUUAUGCGCAAGGACAAUACCAGAAGAUUAGUACAGACUAAACAAUAUGAUAUUCUAAUGACAUCAAAAAAAAAAAAGAAAAAGGAAAGGAAAUAACAGGCAUUUCCACAUCGCUUACGCUCAUAUAUCUCUUCAAAGUCCUCACGAAGAAGUCUCUUCACAAAAGUCGUUUUGCCUGCACAAAGGAACGGACUACGCUCAGUCUGCUAUCCCUUGCUUGACACUAGAAAGAAAAGAUAUAUCAUCUCAUGGCUUCUACAUCGCGACAAAUGAAGAAGAUCGCAAAAACCACUUUUUGUCUGACACCCUUCGAUUUCAGACAAAUCCCCAGAAAUUGUGGAAAAACAUGCUGUCCGCCACUCCAAAUAGUAAAUCCUCUUCAAGGAUAUAUAGCCAUAAGCAUGUUAUAUUUUCCUGAUCCCGACCAGUAAAAUAACUAGAGCAAACCCUAAUUUAUCACGACAGCAAAUGCACCUGUUCUGUAUACAAAGUAACGAGCGAUUGAAUCAAAACUGGUAAAAACAGAGCACGCCAGUGACAAUUACCAGUGCCCUUAUCGCCAACGAUGAGAAGCUUGAACCUCGGGUCAUCGAACAUCGGUUGAUUCGGUAAAGCCUGAAAGAGACACGCAAGGAAAACAGCAACAAUUAAAACAACAAACCAAAUGAGAAAAAAAAAAAAAAAUCCAAACUUUGCAAUCACGUAACCAGAUCGCUCAGCUCCAGAACCCCCAAAAGAAACAGCAUCUGACCAGGACCCAAAAGCUCGAGAAAAAUCACGAAAAGAAUCGAGAUUCAAGAAGACCCAGCAACAACAAGAACACGAGCUAUCCAUAUAAGAAUGGACGCGUGGAAAAUGGGAUGAUGAAAAGGAAAGAAAAGCACGUAGGGACCGUUUGGUUUGAUUAAGGGAUUUUUUUGAAAUGUUACCCCUUUUGGUAAAUUGUAGCAUUGAAAGGUACAUUAACAUAAAUACCAUUCGGCAAAAGUCACAAAUGGCUUUUGCUUUUUUCUUCUUUUUUUUUUAAUCUGAAAAUUAAAUCCGGCGGCCAGCUAACCACCGGCCAAUUGCCGGACGGCCAGAUCUGGCCGCCUGAGGUCGUGACCUCAGGCAACGCCGUCGUCUACGGUCGCAGAGGCCAGAUCUGGCCUCCGGACCGCCAGAUCUGGCGGCCUGAAGUCGCGCGGACCCAGGCGGUGGUCACCGGGGACGCGCGACCCCCAGGCGACGGCGGCGGUUGCCGGAGAAGCCGGAGAAGCCCGACUCUCAGGCGGGGAAGACGAAGACGAGUGGGGAAAAGAUGAAAAGUGACGCGUGAACAGCGAACUUGCAUUUUAGAAAUGCCGAAUGCUCACAGCAACUGCAUUAGGCUUUCAGCAUUAGGAAUGCUGAUAUUUGCUCAAUGAGCUUUCAAAAAAGUCUCUCAAACGCAAAAUAUUUUCCCCUUAAAAAAGUCGAACCAAACGAGGCAAACCAACUCACCAUUGAUGAUUGCGAAGAGGAGGGUCGGGAUUUUGGUGGGUGUCUGAGACACACAGAAUUUCGAAUAGGUUCCGAGCAGCACAGUGAAGUGGGAGAGUAAAGGUUGAAAAGUCGUACAGGGAGGAGGUUUUAGAUGGAAGGGAAAGCGUGAUUUUUCCCUGUUUCUUUUUUUCUUUAGCCUAACAUGGCUUAGAGCUGAUGCUGCCGUCUCCUCCGUUGGAUUCGAUUUACUUAGAACCUGCUGACCGUCCGACCUGUACCUCCCCCCCACGUUCCUAAAUUUCUUCGAGGCGAAAGUGCGAGGAAAUUUCCUAAGAGUCUAUUAUAUACAAAAAUUGAAAUUUCAAAUCCUUCGCCCUUUAUCUCCACCAAACUCCUUGGACUUUUCAUCUAUCUUCAAGGAUAUAGCCACGAGCAUGUUACGUUUUCCUGAUCCCGACCACUAAAAUAACUAGACCGAAGCCUAAUUUAUCACGUACAUAGCAACGAAUGAUUGAAUCAAUACCAGUAAAACAGAGCACGCCAGCGACAAAUUACAUGUGCCUCCAUCGCCGACAAUGAGAAGCUCGAAGCUUGGGUGAUCGAAGAGAGAGAGAGAAUCGAAUGCAUUCGGAGGAGCGAAGGGUGGUGGGAGAGGAGACAGCAGUGUAGGUUUCAAGAGGAGGGAAAGCGAUGGGAGAAUAGAACUUAGAAUUUGAAAACCGAAUCGGGGUUAUAGAUUUCGAAAAUUAAAGAAUCUGUUUCGGCGGAUAGUUUCCAGAUUCUAGAUUGGUGGAACUUACAUUGAUCUAUAUCUUCGUACGAUCCUACAGUAUUUCAUGACGUUUAAUGAUAAAUGCAUAAUUUGAAACCACUAGUAUGAGCUUCCACUUUAUAAUUGAGACUUUUACAAUAUAAAUUAUGAUCAGUAUUGUAGAAGUAAUUGGUGGUCAUUAGAAGUUAUCAUUCAUUACAAUCGUUCGAUUAAUAAUUAUAAGUAGAGCUUGGAUAAACCCGGGAACUGUGACGGGAUAGGUUUUGGGUCUCAAAAAAUGAGGAAAUUAUUCUAAUGAGUAGGUUUGCCUGAAAUUUAUACGAAAUCUUGAACCGCUCAUUCAGGGAUAAGAGGAGGAAUGAGAAGAAAGACGACGGGGAUUUUUUUUUUUUUUUUUUUUGUCGAACGUUGCUUUCAGUUGACGCUGAUGUCUCCCUCGUCAGAUUCGAUUACUUUCUUACAAGUAGUGUUCUAGAAUCUGUUGACCAUCCGAUCAUUACAGACUCCUGGUUGAACUCGCACCCCCUUUGUGUUCCUAAAUUUCGAGGGAGUGAGGAAAUUUUUGAAGAAUAUAUAAAAACAACAUUUCACGUUCUUCUCAAUUUUCAUCGAAUUUCAUUCCCUUGUUGUGUGAGAGAGGUAAGGGAACGGAAAUUUUAAAUGAAAAGCAAUCAAAAUUUUAAAAUUUUAGAUUAUUUCCUUCCCCUCCAAUUGCCAAAACAAAGCUCGGUGGUAGGCUAUCUUAAUCAAUUCCGGCAUACUAGAUCAAAUGAUUCCUUAUCAAGGAUAGACGGUUUACACCGAAACAAAGAAAAUUCACAAAUAGUUAACCAAUCAUGACCGGAGACAAUUCGCCCUUAGUAAAACUGGAAUUAGAAAGUGUUUUAGGGCCAUUGAUGAAGGUCGACUUUUACAAGGCAAUCGAAUUAUAGACCGUCAAAUUGAAGAGAUCAAGUAUCCAAACAUUUGAUGAUAAAUAUAUUGUCUACGGUUGAACUGAAAAUAACUCUUUAUCAAUUGUCGGAUGCAAAAUAGACAAGAUUACGGUGAAAUUCUCCCGUAGACACCAAAGAAAGAAAACUGGUUUUAGGGAACCAAAAUUUGAAUGAAAAGCAUGAAAAAAUUCAAAAUUUUGCCCAAAAUUUCCUCCUCUCCCAUUGCCAAACAAAGCCGUGUUACAAGCUAACUUAAUCAAUUUUGACACUCUAAAUUGAAUAUUCCUUAUCAAAAAUAGACCAUCCACACCGACGGGAAAAGACAAAUUACUAAUAAUUACUCGAUCGUGACCAGAGAUAAUGUGCCCCUAGUGAAACCUGAAAUUAGAAAGUGUUCUAGGGCCAUUGAUUAAGUUCAACUUUUGCAGGGCAAACGGAAGGAAGAGAUCAGGUAUCCAAAUGUUGGAUGUUAAAGUAAUGUCCAUCAUCGGACCAACAAUGACUCAUUAUCAAUUGUUGGAUGUGUAACGACAAAAUUACGAUGAAAUUCUCCAAAGACACCAAAGAAAGAAAACUGAUUUUCAGGAACGGAGUAUGCAUUGUUCAAUGUUUGUAAGACCUCCGACGAUUCGUGCUUGCUCGGUCCAAGUUUUCUGAAGCUUUGCCCGUGCCAUGCCACUAUGCCCGUGCAAAAAUGGGCAGUGAAUGAAUAUUUUUCGCCCGAUAUUGUCUCCUUAGAUUAUGUGUUCAAUUGGUCAUCUGUCGUUUUAAAGCACACUUAAUCGUAGUAUCGAUGGAUUCUCGAGAUGCAAACUUUGAUAAGAUGUAACAGCACGCAUAGUAAUCUAUUGCGUUUCUUUUGAGCAAAUUGUGCCAAGAGUUGUGAACCCUAUGUAUGAAAUGCGUUUAAAUUCUAAAGAUUUUAAUUGGUCCAGUCGUGUCCGAAAUCAACGUCAACGCCAUGGGUCCCACUUCCCAUAUCCCUGUGUUUUGACUCGCUUUACUGGCGACGUGCUCGGAAGGUGGGGGGGAGGGGAGGAGGGAGGGGGUGAUUUCUAGAAGUGCGUCGAAGACCAGUGAUCGUGGUGCUCUGGUGUACAUAGUCGGAGGUUUUUAGUUUGGGGUGCUUUCAAUUCGCAAUUUGAGGUUGUCGUUAGCCGCUUGUUUUUACUGGUUACGUCGUCGGCUCGCCGUUGAAAUAUGCAUUAUUAACGCGGGUUUGGAGGUACUUGUUUAUUAGUUGCAUACGCUACAAGGUCGGAGCGGCAAGAGAUACGCUUCCCUUUCUCCCGAUCGUGUGAAUUAUCGAGUAAGCGGGGAUUUGAUGUUCGUGAUGGCGAUGUGCAGAGGCUAUUUCGUUUUUUGGCCCUUGUGAUGACGACGUGCAAAGGCUAUUUCGCGUUCUCGUUGAGCGUACGUCGGCCUUUUCAAUUUGCACACUCGGUGCUUGUUUUUAUGUUUGAUAUAAGUAAAGAAUCUUUUUUCUCGAGUGGGAUUCACAGAACUUGUGAUUUGUCGUGUUAUAAAAUUUUAGUUCGAUCCAUAGAGCAGAUACGCGCGCACUUCUCUAAUUGUUAUGAUUGUUUCAUUUUAAUUACGUACAUCGUCAUAUUUUGUUAUUUUACUCUUUUUUUCGUUUCCCUUUUUAAUUUGACAUAAAAUUUUAACCAAGUAACACAUUAACAUAAAGAGCCUAAAGUAAUUAAAUGGACGCAGUACGGCAAUAUAAAUCGGGUUGAGUACAAAUUAUCAAAAUUGUAUUACAUAAGAAUGGAUCAAUACAAAUUAAAUGAAUUAAUUUAGGUCGGAACAUCUUCGAACCGACCCGCCUAUUUAACACCCUCAACAGCAUCCAUGUACCACAAUUGUCUAAAAGAAUAUGUAUGCUGUUAACUAUCAAUACAUUUUUUCCGAAAUUGAGGUCAAUUUGAUAAAUCAAGCGGAAACAAUUAUGUAAUUUAGCAAAACCAAAAAAGUGAAAACAUCUCCCAUCCCCAAUGUAGAACUCCAAAAUUGCAAGGAUGCAGGCUGAAACCACCUGCCGUCUCGAAUGCCCACUACCGUCUCCAAACCUAAAAACUGCUUUUCCAGCGCCAUCGGGAAGUGGCUGAAUAGCUGCUUCAGCAAGUUCUGCCUCAUGCCUGUUCGAGACAACAGCCACCGUAGGUCAACGGACAGUUGAGAAGAGGUUUAUGAACCAUCAAACUAGCUACACAACUUUGACUC
rnacentral:lncRNA from 1 species